GGCAAGAUUAUUAUUUUUUCUAUAUGGGUAUGAUUGAUAUGAUAAAUUGCCUUUUGACAUCGCAUCAAUCAGUGAUAUCCCUAAUAACAUUGAGGGGGUUCUCUUCACUUUCUCUACCGUUAUUUUUAAAUUUCAAUUUUUCCCUUCAUUAUAAUAAAUGACAUAAUUAGAAAAAUUUUCUUGAAUUAUUACAUUAAAUUAAUUCUGUAUAAGGAGAUUAGAACUUAAGUGGGGCCAUUU
rnacentral:lncRNA from 1 species